UACAGAGGUCUCAAGCGUUGUUCGGAUUCAUUGGGCGUAAAGAGCGUGUAGGCGGCCAGAUAAGUCCGCUGUGAAAUCUCGAGGCUCAACUUCGAGCUGUCGGUGGAAACUGUCUGGCUAGAGUCCGGAAGAGGAGAAUGGAAUUCCUGGUGUAGCGGUGAAAUGCGCAGAUAUCAGGAAGAACACCUAUGGCGAAGGCGGCUCUCUGGGACGGUACUGACGCUGAGACGCGAAAGCGUGGGGAGCGAACAGG
rnacentral:rRNA from 1 species